AGGUUCUUUUGCAAUUCCGUGUGACAAAUCCUAUUUAAAUUAAAAAGAGCAUGAGUGUUUUACAUUAUAAUAAAGUGAUAAAAAAAAUUAUCUAUUUUUUACUUGUAAAGGAGGCAAAACAUGGUUCAAACAUUCAAGUUUGCUUAUGCUAUGAUCCUUGUUCUUUAUCUAUUUUUUGUAGUAACCAACAUUAGCGCAUUAAGUGCUCCGUGCAAAGACGUCUUCGAUUGUUUUCCAUUUUGUCCAUAUCCUCUAGUUGAAGUGUGCGAAAAUGAAGUUUGUGUCUGCAAAGAGAUUGAAUCAAUCGAUCCUAUGAGAAAGAGAUCAAAUCAAUGACAUACACAUUAAUUGUCCAUGUAAAAAAGAAUAAACAAGUCAUUCUGAAGAGAUCAUGAAACUCAUCAAAAAUCACGUCGGAAUCACUAAACAAUGGAGUCUAGCAAUGGUUUGGAUUGUGUGGAGCAAUUGAUAGGUGUUUAUUUUUUACGUGUAGUGUUAGAGAAUAGUAUGCUAAAAAGAUUUUAUUUAGAUUCAUAUUCAAAUAUAUUUAAAAUUUAUAUUAAAAUUUAUAUUAAAAUA